UUUCCCGAACCCCUAAUUUCGUUUCUCCUUUCCUCCUCACGCGCGGCGAUUUGGCUGUUCGGGCGAAAACGAAGACGACAAGCCUAGGGCUUUGUCUCCGGCGGCCGGUGAGCAUCUUUUCCGACGAGAUCUUCACACCUUCAUGAUCCCCUCGUCGAGAAGAACAAGUAGAUACAAAGAGAUCUCUAAGGAAACAACUUCUCCGCAAACCCUAGAAGUUUCCCGUCGGCUGUAAGUCCAAGAAAACCUAAGAUAAAGGAAAAGGGAAAGUGAUAUAAAGGAAGGCGACAAGGAGAAUGCUUGGUGGGUGUCUGAUGCUGAACCAUGGAAGCUUGGGACCUAACUAAGAGUUUAAUUAGAUUCUCUACUUCAAAUUGUUAGAGAAAUUAGAGAAAUUAGAGAUCUGUUAUUAGCUUAAUUGCAUUGCUUGAACCUGAAAACGCCCCUUAGUACUGCUGAAUUGUUUACCUGCCUUUGCUAUUUAGGUUGCUCGCUGGAAUUCUUACUGAAGUUUCCCUUUACUGGUGGAAAGUUUUUAUCUUGCUAAAAUUGAAAUGCUGGAAACGUACAUUAGCAUUCCUUGGAGAGAUAAGCAUCUUGUAUUUAGUUGGAAUCUGUGAUUUCUGGUUUUGCUGGAAAUCUCGAAGUUCGGCUCGAAUUGAUUUUCUGGGUUGUUGAAAAAGGGGAUUUUGAUUGCUUUA